rnacentral:rRNA from 1 species
GACGAACGCUGGCGGCGUGCUUAACACAUGCAAGUCGAACGCUGAAGCUCAGCUUUUGUUGGGUGGAUGAGUGGCGAACGGGUGAGUAACACGUGAGUAACCUGCCUCCUUCUUUGGGAUAACGCCCGGAAACGGGUGCUAAUACUGGAUAUUCACUGGUCUUCGCAUGGGGGUUGGUGGAAAGGGUUUUUCUGGUGGGGGAUGGGCUCGCGGCCUAUCAGCUUGUUGGUGGGGUGAUGGCCUACCAAGGCUUUGACGGGUAGCCGGCCUGAGAGGGUGACCGGUCACAUUGGGACUGAGAUACGGCCCAGACUCCUACGGGAGGCAGCAGUGGGGAAUAUUGCACAAUGGGCGCAAGCCUGAUGCAGCGACGCCGCGUGAGGGAUGGAGUCCUUCGGGUUGUGAACCUCUUUCGCUCAUGGUCAAGCCGCAACAAUGGUUGUGGUGAGGGUAGUGGGUAAAGAAGCGCCGGCUAACUACGUG